AUGGCUAACCUGGUCAGGUCGGGAACGAAGCAGCCACGGCUAU
rnacentral:SRP_RNA from 1 species